GUAAAAUUUGGAUUGCAUUGAAUAGAAAAUUUCUCAAAUCAUCCGCCAUUCAUUUUGGUGCAAAUAUUGAAGAAUAAAAUAGAAAAAGUACCCAAAAAAAAAAAAGUUAAUACAUAUCACUCGAUUUGUGCUUUGCCGAUCAACGGUCAACAUCAAAUAAAUCGUCUCACUUGAUCCGACGGCAGAGAGUGAUCCCAUCACCUACCGGAAGCAUGCAAAUCUCAAUCCUGGGAUCGGCUGGUAGGGCCUUGUUGAGCUUCAUCACAAAGUCUCUGUAGUACUUGACAUACUUCCUUAAGGGUGCAUCAGGU
rnacentral:misc_RNA from 1 species